GUUUGGCGCAAUUUUUCAUCGUUUAAUAAAUAAGUCUUUUCAAGUUUAUAUUCUUAUUGAACAAAAAAAUUAAAGAAAAGGGAAAAAAUGAGAAAAACAGAAUAGUUAGCAUAGGCCUUCUAUGUUCUUCAGCAUUUCAUGGAGGAAGGUUAAAGGUGUACUUGUGAUGAUGUAUGUAGUUGGAAGCAAAGGUGGAACAAAAUACAAAAACUUGGAAAAUUGGAGCUGUGCUAUUGGUUAUGGAUUAGGAUCUGGGAGUCCUUUGAGCCCAUCCUUCAAUUUUGGACUAGAACUCGCUAAAAAUUCACAGGUUAGUUGCGUUUUGCUAUUUUUAGGCCCGUCCUUUGAUUAAUUUCAUCUUUUCCUUUCGCAUAAUUGUGUUGUUAAUAAGUUUUCUUCACUAAAUUGACAUCUACUUUUUUCCUUUUAGGCUGAAUUUGCUUUUCAAAGAACCUCAGAAGGAAGAAAAUUAAAGAUUUUAUUUUUUCUGUUUCUUGUUUAGCUUGCAGUUAAUCCUAUUGUGGAAGAUGUUAGGAAACAAGUUGUUUUGUUAGGCUUCCUUGCUAUCCUAAAUCUAUUUCGGUAACCUGAAUACUCUGGACGCCAUCAUAAAUUUAGCAACAGAAUGUAGCAGAAACUAAGCAAUUGAGAUAUCUAAUUAGCGAAUCAUGCUUCAUUUCCAUUUUCCCAUUAUAAAGACGUCUCUGCAUCAUAGUUGAUUCUGCAAGAAUGAGUAUAUUGGCAUAUAAUGUUAGCAACAUGGCUUUCAUUUUUCAUAGCUACAUGUGAACUUAGUGACAUAACCGAAUUAUAGAUGUUGAAAUGUCAAGUAUAAUACUUAAUAAGAUUUGAUGCCCCCAAUAUGAGAGGUUCUUUCAUUGUAUAGAACCAAAAUCAUAACUAAAUAUGAUAAAAGCAAUCUAUCUGUAUGUGGUACAAUUAUAAUAAUAAUAAUAAUAAUAAUAAUAAUAAUAAUAAUAAUAAUAAUAAUAAAAUUUUAAUAUUCGAUGAUCUCCAUAAUCUUAUUCAAUUUAAGUAAUCUUAUUCAAUCACAUUAACAUGCCUCUCAAAUUAAUGUUGGUAAAAGUAUCAAUUUACAAUCAUGAACGAACGACAAUGACAAUACUCGUGCCCAUGAAGAAGAGACCCAAAUCACAGCAGAAACAACCAAGAACCACUCCAAGAACACUUCAAAGAGCUCAUAUCCCAAGAAGAAUUUUCAAAAUAAAUUCACAAAGUGUACCGACCUCACACAAUGAGCUCUAUCAGUCGAACAUAGAAUUUGCAUUCCAACGAAAGCUCUAACGAUCAAUUCACCGAUGAAAAGUUCAGCAAUAUAUUGCUGACCAAGAUGCUGCAGUUGGAAGAAAUCCAACCGAACAACCUACACCAAAAACUCAAAGAUCAUCCCUCCACUAGGAAUCCAAAACCACUCAAGGUUGACCUCUCAUGAGAAUCUAAAUCUUUAGCUCAUCAUUUAGCAUCAAUUUGUUUACAUGAAACUGAUGUAAAAAAGAACUCAAAGGUCCAACUCCAAUGGGCAAACCCCAAAAAUAACCUCACACACAUGCUACAGUCCAUCCUUCUUCUACUAUUCAUUAAGACCUCCAACAACAGCCGAAUAUACCAAAUCAACCCAUUACCAGGCCCAAAUACUAAAUCUGAAAGUUAAAAUCUCCAGCAACAGUCUAAUAUACCAAAUUGAACCAUAAUAAGGCCCAAACACCAAAUCCAAUAGUACUAAAACCAUGAACCUACACAUAACUACAAACUCGACAUAAAUUACAUCAUCUCCAUCUCCCAAACGCUAAACCAUUGUCGCUAUGGGUUUUUCUCCACGCCAACAAUGCCUCAUCCAAUCGGCAACCUAAUCUCUUUGUCUCUGGCAUUGCCUCCAUCCAGGCUCGGCUUGGCAGUAUCUUGAGAAUUUCCCUUCUCUCUAUUUCUUUGUCCCUUCUCUCUAUUUCUUUGCAAUUUUUGAACCCUUUUCAUAUUAGGGUAAUUUUGAGAUUCAUUUAUCUAUGCUUGCUUUGAAACUAGACCAAGUGAUUGAAGGCAUCAGAAGUGCAUAGUAGAUUCAAGGGAAUGGCGCCAAGAGAGCCGUUGCUGCGGUAAAUUAGUUGAAGAGCUUAGCAGCUUCGAUAGAGAUAUCGCCUUUACCGACACCGACCGUGCCGACAUCUUCAUCUGCUUGUUAUGUUAUUUUAUCUAUAUCAGUCUAUUGAUCGCAGAGUAAUUUAGGGCUUUAGGGUUUAAAGAAAAUGCGCCAUUGGAGAACUAAAGAGUACUCUUUCUCUUCUCUCCGUCUAUUUCAAUUUUGAUAAAUGGGAGUGAAAGAGGACGAUUUUGCUUUUCUGAACGAUUUACAAUAAUGGAGGUUGAAAGUCUCAAUAUGUUGAAACGUGAACAAGAAAAAGAAACCAUUAACUCAAUUCGACGAAGACCAAGCGGAAGGAGCAAAACCUCAUCUUGCUGUGAGAAAACCGAACCAAGAAAACGAGAAAAAAUUCUAAGAAAGAGGCUCUAAUACCAUGUCAAGUAUGAUAUUCAAUAAGACUUGAUGCCUCACAAUGUGAAAUGUUCUCAUUGUAUAGAACCAAAUCAUAACUAAAUAUGGUAAAAAUAAUCUAUCUAUUUGUCAUAAUCUUCGACUAUUUCCAUAAUCUUAUUCAAUCUCCACAAUCUUCAAUCUCAUUAACACUUUGAGACUAGUUUACUUAGGAUCAUGUUACAUAUUUCCCGCACCAUUACUUCUACAACUUAAGUUCUUCUAGAAGUCUUUGUACUAGUGAAUUAUAGUUCCUAUUUGGUGCAAAUUAAAAUAAAGAUUUUAAUUUAAGUCAAAGUCAAUAACUAAUUUUAACUGCACCUUUAUGGGAUCCACAACUUUACAACCAUACAUUUCAACAAUUUUUAUCAAAAUCUACUAAAAAACUAAUUUUAAUCCCCACCAAACGUGGGCAUAAUUUAUUUAUCAAUAUGGGAUCAACUUACAAUGUCUCAUUACUAUUUCAUUUUAAUCCCCACCAAACGUGGGCAUAAUUUAUUUAUCAAUAUGGGGUCAACUUACAAUGUCUCAUUAUUAUUUCAUUGCAGUUCAUUGCUUCUUUCUAUCAACACAUCGUGGUUCAGAGAUGAGUAUCUCUUUCUCUCUCUCUCUCUAGUGUGCAUGAGCCUACAUGCAUUCCCAUCUACGGUAUAAAUAUGCAUACAAGAAUGCACAAAAGAAUAUAUAUUGAAGAUAGGGACAUAUGGUUGUUUGAAAAACUGAUAUAAUGGGGAAAGAUUGUACUAAAAUCAACAUUACUGACAAAUAUUAACUUCUGUGGACCUAGGUGAAAAGUCCACUUGAAGAAAAUGAAAUGGUUGGAAUCACUAAUUACAUUGACUUUGGCUUUGAGUUACAGACAAGGUAUUUUCAUAUGUUAAAUAUCGCAUACAUUGAUAUCAUAUAAAGUGGUGGAAUCCGACUUCAUUUUAUACUUUUCGUGAAGUAUUGACGAUGAAAAGUCAUUAAAUAAUAUUCAAGAGUCCACUUUUCAAGUGGCUGCAUCUUGGCAAGCCAAUAAAAACUUCUUACUGAAGGUAACACAAUUUUGAUAAUGUUUCUAAUCAUUUAGUUUGUGAUAGUAUUAUUUGUGAAGCAAUUAAGUUUAAGACAUCAAUGUGUCAAUUUUGCAGGGAAAUUCAUCAAUAGCUUUAGCAUUUAAAUCAUGGUGGAAACCUUCUUUCAUUUUCAGCAUGUCAGGUAUCUGAUAUGUGUGUCCCCUCGUUCUUAAGAGAUUUAGCUACAAAAUUCUAUGCCUCAAAAUUCGCUGUAUAAUAUCGAGCAUUUUAUAAUAGCUUGUUGUUUAAUCUUCAAAUAUUGCUCAUUAGUAGUAAACUUGCACAUUUGUCUAUAUCUCUGAACAAGUUAUGCUAUCACUGCUUUCGUUUUUUUCAUCGUUGAAGUAGAAUAAUUUUUAGGACAGACAGUGUUGUUCGAGACCUUGAGAGCAUGUGUUAUAUGCAUUAGUAGAAAGGAUUGGACAAUACAAUAUACUAGAUUUAGUUUAUUUUUCUUAUUUAGCCCCUAUUUGUUUUUCAUUGUUUCUAUAUUAAAAUGAAAAAUAUGACCGUUAUCCAUCACAUCAAACCAUCAAAUUUGAAUUUUGAUCUCUUGUGUGGGGCCUAUAACGGCUAUAUUUUUCAUUCUCAUUUUUACAAAAAUGGAAAACAAACGCUCCUUUAAUAUUGUUGAUUUUUUUUUUUUUUAAUUUUAUUCGAUCCACCUUAUGAAACAUGUCAUAACAAUGUAGAAUUGAGGAUGAAGAUAUUGAUUCCCGUUUUGUUGUUUCUCUAUCAUUCUUUGCCCCUCAUUCUCUGUUUAUAUAAUUUAUCUCAUUCUUCAACCAUUAAUUUCACUGGCUUACAACUGUCAGAGAUCGGACAAAACGAGGGACAUCAUUUGGAUUUGGUGUUCGUGUCGAUAACAUUAGGGAAGUAAGGUUGGAUACAUUUCCCUGUAUGCCUUCUCGAUACGAUUUUAUAAGCCCACGGAGGCUCCACCUUUGUAUUGCCAUUCUACAUCCAUGGAAAUUUGAUAUCAUCGCUUCCCUGAUUGUAGUUAUCAAAGGACAGACCCAAAUUUCGUUAUGUUGACCCCAAACAAGGAGCAUCUAGCUGAGGGCAUAUGCUGGAAAAUUAAGAAAAGACGAGUGCUCCCAUUUGAUGUAAAUUCUGGAAAUUUUGAUGGCAUGCCCAGGGAAUUGAGACCCUUGGCCAAAAUUUUGAAACCUUUUGGCAAUUUUGCUUUUGUUUGAUGGAAAAAUGAUCUACUAAGUAUCGAUGCUUAACUUAUAUUAAAAUCGGUGACAUUGAACAUCAAUUCAUCCUUAAAAUUCAAAUUUAAUUUAAAUAUCGUUGUGCCAUGCCGUGCUUACUCGUGAUUAGUAGAUGAGUCUCUCUCGUACAUAUGGUUAAUCACCAUUUAUAAUUAAGGGUCUGUUUGACUGCAAAAAUAUAAUUUGAG
rnacentral:lncRNA from 1 species